AUGGAAACACACAUGCACUGUACACCAUGUCACCAUUCGCCUCCACCGCACGCAGCAGCGGAGGCGAUCAGGCCAGCUAGGGCCGGGGGACUCCUACGCCUACGGGCCCGAUGCUACCACCUGGCGAACCCCUUCUUCCCUCCGGCGGCCACGGCGGCGGCGCGCUCGAACUUGGCGGCGGCGCAGGGGAUGGUGAUACCGCCGGGGUGCUGGAAGCCGAACGCCUCCUCCGCCUCCCUCAGCAGCUCCCCGAACAUGGGGUGGUUGAAGUACACCACCGGCACCACGUACCGCAGCGGCUCCCCGGGCCCGCCACCGCCGACGUACACCGCCACCUGCCCCUUGGGGGUCUUCACCGCCUCGUCGCCGCCGCCGCCGCCGAGCGUUCGCUGGCCGCGGUCCGUACGGCCGAGGCUGAGGAGCCGCGCCAGCGACUGCCCCCACCGCAGCACCGGCGCCAGCUUCUUGGCCUCCCUGCCCUCCACCGGGCACGGCGUGUCGAGGCGGAGGUAG
rnacentral:rRNA from 1 species